AACGAACGCUGGCGGCAUGCCUAACACAUGCAAGUCGAACGAGACCUUCGGGUCUAGCGGCGCACGGGUGCGUAACGCGUGGGAAUCUGCCCUUGGGUUCGGAAUAACAGUUGGAAACGACUGCUAAUACCGGAUGAUGACGUAAGUCCAAAGAUUUAUCGCCCAAGGAUGAGCCCGCGUAGGAUUAGCUAGUUGGUGAGGUAAAGGCUCACCAAGGCGACGAUCCUUAGCUGGUCUGAGAGGAUGAUCAGCCACACUGGGACUGAGACACGGCCCAGACUCCUACGGGAGGCAGCAGUGGGGAAUAUUGGACAAUGGGCGAAAGCCUGAUCCAGCAAUGCCGCGUGAGUGAUGAAGGCCUUAGGGUUGCAAAGCUCUUUUACCCGGGAUGAUAAUGACAGUACCGGGAGAAUAAGCGCCGGCUAACUCCGUG
rnacentral:rRNA from 1 species